GUGUAGUGCAGCUAAUGCCAUGCAUGUGCUAUUCUACCUGGGCAAUGCUAUUUGUUGGACCAAAUGCCUAAUUGUCAACGGUAUUCUGGACAAGGAGGACAAGGCAAGACGCACUGGACAUCUCAAUCUCAUUUUCAUUUUUGAAGUAGACUACCCCUUGGACGGGAAAUUUAAGAGAAUGCCAAGAAAACCGAAGGCUGGCAAGACUUUCAGGAGAUUAAAAUGCAAAGAAUUGGUAAAACAAGGUUAGCUCUUUACAUUUGUACAGGUAGGUAUAUUGUAGGAUGCAGGGUCUACCACUUCAGAAAGAUAAGGUGGUAUUAAAAGCUAAAGCACAUUUGCAACUGAUUUUCUUAAGAAGUGAUGUAGGAAGGAGUUAGAGUAUAUAACUGAAGAUUGUCAUCACAACAAUUGUAGAUGCAGAAACAUGAGGGACUGGGUGUAUGAAUAAGCUUUUUUUUUACCCUCGGUACUAAGCCCAAAUUUUGUCUUGUGAACGGUAAUACAACUCUUUUACAUCCUUCUCUUGAGAAUUUUUGACACAUUGUCACAAGUUGUGACUUAGGCUGCUGUCACGAUGUUGGAUGAACACACAAUAUGGUGAUAAGUGUUGGGUAUAUCACUAAAUUUAGCUAUGGAAUCUGAACUAGCAGAAGUUGUAAGUUGAAUUUUUCCUGGCUAAAAAGUUGCAUUCUAUGCCAGAGCUAGCUUGCAAAGGCCAACAGAAAAUAUAUGAACUUGGCAGUUCCUAAGCUAUGAAUACCGUUUCAGGUUGCAGUGUCAUAUUGUCUAUACUACUCUGGGUAAGGGUGUGGUUGUCGGUAAGAAUGCGCUCACGGUUGUGCACGAGCCAUUCCCACGCUCCGAUCAUUUGGUGCUCCUGAUGUUCCGCCAAAUUAAGGGCCUGCAGACUUGUGUCCUUCGUGCUAUCAAUGAUCAUAUAUGCUUGCAUGGUUCAUGUGGUGGGUGUAAUACAGUGCAAAUUGAGAAUGGACUGUGAGCUUCUAUGCUUCAGAUCCUCUUCUGUGACAUGUAUAUGGUUUCUAUAAUGAUUUGUGACUGGUGUGCUCUUUAUAUUUUCUUCUUCUAUGGACUUUUCGUUGUUUCUUGCUGCCAACAUAUUUGUUCUCUUCCUUUGUAGCCUACAUUUCGUAGUGGAAGAUAUUAUAAUUUUUUAUGACGCACGGCAUGGUGAAGUUAUGACAAAUUUCUUUUACUUGAAUUAUAGUGUUGUAUUAUUUUUCAGCUGAGUACCACAAUCAGAAAUCUCAAUUACUUAUAGAAUUGUUUUUAUU